UUCCCCUAUUCACUGCGAGUGAAGCGGGAASAGCUCAAAUUUAAAAUCUGGCAGUCUCUGGCUGUCCGAGUUGUAAACUAGAGAAGUGCUAUCCGUGCUGGACCAUGUAUAAGUCUCCUGGAACGGAGCGUCACAGAGGGUGAGAAUCCCGUCUUUGACAUGGACUACCAGUGCAUUGUGAUACGCUCUCAAAGAGUCGAGUUGUUUGGGAAUGCAGCUCAAAAUGGGUGGUAAAUUCCAUCUAAAGCUAAAUAUUGGCGAGAGACCGAUAGCGAACAAGUACCGUGAGGGAAAGAUGAAAAGAACUUUGGAAAGAGAGUUAAACAGUACGUGAAAUUGUUGAAAGGGAAACGCUUGAAGUCAGUCGCAUUGGCUGGGGAUCAACCUUGCAUUCGUGAGGUGUACUGUCCAGUCAAUGGGUCAGCAUCAAUUUUGACUGCCGGAAAAAGGUCAGGGGAAUGUGGCAUCUUUGGAUGUGUUAUAGCCCCUAAUUGUAUACGGUGGUUGGGAUUGAGGAACUCAGCACGCCGAAAGGCCGGGUAUCUACCACGUUCGUGCUUAGGAUGCUGGCAUAAUGGCUUUAAUCGACCCGUCUUGAAACACGGACCAAGGAGUCUAACAUGCCUGCGAGUGUUUGGGUGGUAAACCCAUGCGCGUAAUGAAAGUGAAAGUUGAGAUCUCUGUCAUGGAGAGCAUCGACGCCCGGACCAGACCUUUUGUGACGGAUCCGCGGUAGAGCAUGUAUGUUGGGACCCGAAAGAUGGUGAACUAUGCCUGAAUAGGGCGAAGCCAGAGGAAACUCUGGUGGAGGCUCGUAGCGAUUCUGACGU
rnacentral:rRNA from 1 species